CGUGGAGCUCUAUCGUGGUGGCUGUCUGCAAGGUCUGGGGACAGGUCCCUAAGGUGCCCGGUGCUCCUGUGUAACAAACUCACGUGCGUGGGAAUGUCAGAUGUGAGAGUCAGGCUCUGUCGUCCCCAGAACCAUCCACAUGGUAUAGCACAAGAAGUCGUCAAGCUUGUCCCCGUGGGAACCGCUGGUGACUCCUGCCACUCCCAGGUCGGUGUUCAGGAGUUCUAGGUCCCUGCUGUACCCAGAAAGGGAAGCUGAGCCCUUAGAAGACCUUCCUGCCUACGUGCUUCUCAAAUAGGCAAAGCUCCGAGAUCCUCCAUCACUGUGACACCUGCUGACCCACGCUGUCUACCUACCUUGGUCCUGGGAGUCAUGGGACCUCAUUACAUUUCCUGUGAAGAGAGAAGCCACUGUCUGUCUGUCUGGGACUUGAAGGCUUGAUCUCCAAAUCCUCUCUGUCUAAUUCUAUAUAUUUCAGGGGCUUUUGUUUUUGUGACCCGACGCUUGGCGACACGACUCCAGUUUGCCUGUGUUUUAUGAGGUGAUGUGUGGGGUAUUCAGGGUAAAACUCCCAAGCCUUGACCCCCAGCAUCCCAACCUGCACAGUAAAUUCCUGGUUGAAUUUCAACCAUAAGAAAUCACUUAAAGAAUUUAUGCUGCCCAUUAGUUCCGUUCUGUCUGGAUGCUCUGCUCCCGCCCCGUAUCCUUCUCACAUUUCCCGACUCUUGUCACAGACUUUGCUGAUUGUUCAUCUUCUCCCCCUGGCUCCUAUGUGACCUUCGCAAGCCUGGGUACCUCCACGCAGCUCACAUUUCCCCACCUCUGAAAUGAAGGUGUACUUUGUCGUGCUGGGAUUCCUGAGGGUACAGUCGUCUCUUUAAACUGCUGAGCAAGAUCCAAGCUCCCCUGGAGUGUCAAAUGACCAGUGCUCAGCUUGUCUCUCAGUGGGGGUCCCUGUCACCUCUCUGUCCCUUCUAAUGGACGCAAAGCCUGAGGAUACAUCUCCCUGGCCUUGGCUUUCCCUCCACCCUCGGAAACAGCAUGUGAAUGUCUAAAACAGCUCUUGGGCAGACGGUUGGCUUGCAUGCAGAACCUCUGCCUGCUCACCCUGCUGGCCACUUCCUGCUUACAUAGGUUCUCCUGAGACCUUACUUCUCGGGGAUCCUGUGGUGGUUUGAAAGAAAAUGGGCCCGAAAGGGAGUGGCACUAUUAGGCUUUGUUGGAGGAAGUGUGUCACUGUGGGGGCGGGCUUUCAGGUUUUUUUUGCUCAAGUUUUUCUCAGUGUGAUUUUCCAUCAACUUCCUGUUGCCUGCAAGAUGUAGGACUUUCAGCUACUCCAGCACCAUGUCUGCUGGCACACUGCCAUGCUCCCUGCUGUGAUGAUAAUGGACUGAACCCCUGAAACCAUAAGCCAUCACCCUCAAUUAAA